CUCAAAUAGUGUGUGACU
rnacentral:rRNA from 1 species